CCAGUUGUUAUGCAGAGAGAGAUCUGAGCCUGCACCUGACAAGAGGCUUGCUUCCACGAGUGACUUUCAUUUACCCCUGAAAGGGAAGCACCACUCCUGAGAUCUUGGUGUCUCUCUGUAGCAUUCUGCUGCUUGGGAAGGGUCUGUUUGGGCUCACAUUAGCGACCUCUUCACCCACAAAGGAAAAAUAAGGAUUUGUAUCCUGCUCUUCACUGGAAGCAUUUCAGCACUUAUCACUGACUCUGGAAGUAAUUUCCUCAGAGAUUUUCUUGGCUUCGUACACAAAAAACAUGACAGUCUUGCUGAAGAUGUUUGGGAGGGGAACUCAAACCCAUGA
ensembl:lncRNA